rnacentral:rRNA from 1 species
GAAUCUACUCUGUCGUGGGGGAUAACGUAGGGAAACUUACGCUAAUACCGCAUACGACCUACGGGUGAAAGCAGGGGAUCUUCGGACCUUGCGCGAUUGAAUGAGCCGAUGUCGGAUUAGCUAGUUGGCGGGGUAAAGGCCCACCAAGGCGACGAUCCGUAGCUGGUCUGAGAGGAUGAUCAGCCACACUGGAACUGAGACACGGUCCAGACUCCUACGGGAGGCAGCAGUGGGGAAUAUUGGACAAUGGGCGCAAGCCUGAUCCAGCCGUACCGCGUGGGUGAAGAAGGCCUUCGGGUUGUAAAGCCCUUUUGUUGGGAAAGAAAUCCAGCUGGCUAAUACCCGGUUGGGAUGACGGUACCCAAAGAAUAAGCACCGGCUAACUUCGUGCCAGCAGCCGCGGUAAUACGAAGGGUGCAAGCGUUACUCGGAAUUACUGGGCGUAAAGCGUGCGUAGGUGGUCGUUUAAGUCCGUUGUGAAAGCCCUGGGCUCAACCUGGGAACUGCAGUGGAUACUGGGCGACUAGAGUGUGGUAGAGGGUAGCGGAAUUCCUGGUGUAGCAGUGAAAUGCGUAGAGAUCAGGAGGAACAUCCAUGGCGAAGGCAGCUACCUGGACCAACACUGACACUGAGGCACGAAAGCGUGGGGAGCAA